rnacentral:tmRNA from 1 species
GGGGGCGACUGGUUUCGACAUACGUGUUUUAAGAGUGGAAGCAGGUCGUGGUCUCCUCGCCACGUAAAACAGGGGUACCGUCAAAAAUUAAUUGACAACCGUGAGUACGCACUCGCCGCUUAGUUAAGCGACGACGUCAAUUGUGGGUACAUCCCCGCCCCACAUGCGACGCCAUUUAGGGGAAUGCUCUUGUGUGAGCCGUAGACGUAACACAAGUUAAGAUUAGCCUACUAGCUUCCUUUUCCUUUGUUUGUUGAGGAGAAGGACGCGAAUUCUCCAACAGACUGAGCCUGGAGAUGCCGCUUAAGAAGCACAUAUGGACCGGAGUUCGAUUCUCCGCGCCUCCACCA